rnacentral:rRNA from 1 species
GAUGAACGCUGGCGGCGUGCCUAACACAUGCAAGUCGAGCGUGAACCCUUAGAAUGAAACUUCGGUCGAAUGAAGAGGGGGAAAGCGGCGGACGGGUGAGUAACGCGUAGGCAACCUGCCCCGUACAGAGGGAUAGCCUCGGGAAACCGGGAUUAAAACCUCAUAAUACCAUGGUAUCACAUGAUGCAAUGGUCAAAGAUUUAUCGGUAUGGGAUGGGCCUGCGUCUGAUUAGCUGGUUGGUGGGGUAACGGCCUACCAAGGCAACGAUCAGUAGCCGACCUGAGAGGGUAAUCGGCCACAUUGGAACUGAGACACGGUCCAAACUCCUACGGGAGGCAGCAGUGGGGAAUAUUGCACAAUGGGCGAAAGCCUGAUGCAGCAACGCCGCGUGAGCGAAGAAGGUUUUCGGAUCGUAAAACUCUGUUGUUGGAGAAGAAUGUAUCUGAUAGUAACUGAUCAGGUAGUGACGGUAUCCAACCAGAAAGCCACGGCUAACUACGUG